AGCUCCAAUAGCGUAUAUUAAAGUUGUUGCAGUUAAAAAGCUCGUAGUUGGAUCUCAGGUGCAGGCGGGCGGUCCGGCUCGCGCCGGUUCACUGCCCGUGUCCUGCCCUACCGUCUGCCGGCUCUCUCCCGUGGGUGCUCUUCGCUGAGCGUCCCGGGUGGCCGGCGCGUUUACUUUGAAAAAAUUAGAGUGUUCAAAGCAGGCCUCGGCUGCCUGAAUAAUGGUGCAUGGAAUAAUGGAAUAGGACCUCGGUUCUAUUUUGUUGGUUUUCGGAACUGGAGGUAAUGAUUAACAGGGACAAACGGGGGCAUUCGUAUUGCGGCGUUAGAGGUGAAAUUCUUGGAUCGCCGCAAGACGAGCUACUGCGAAAGCAUUUGUCAAGAAUGUUUUCA
rnacentral:rRNA from 1 species